rnacentral:rRNA from 1 species
GAUGAACGCUGGCGGCGUGCCUAAUACAUGCAAGUCGAGCGAACGGACGAGAAGCUUGCUUCUCUGAUGUUAGCGGCGGACGGGCGAGUAACACGUGGAUAACCUACCUAUAAGACUGGGAUAACUUCGGGAAACCGGAGCUAAUACCGGAUGAUAUUUUGAACCGCAUGGUUCAAAAGUGAAAGACGGUCUUGCUGUCACUUAUAGAUGGAUCCGCGCUGCAUUAGCUAGUUGGUAAGGUAACGGCUUACCAAGGCAACGAUGCAUAGCCGACCUGAGAGGGUGAUCGGCCACACUGGAACUGAGACACGGUCCAGACUCCUACGGGAGGCAGCAGUAGGGAAUCUUCCGCAAUGGGCGAAAGCCUGACGGAGCAACGCCGCGUGAGUGAUGAAGGUCUUCGGAUCGUAAAACUCUGUUAUUAGGGAAGAACAUAUGUGUAAGUAACUGUGCACAUCUUGACGGUACCUAAUCAGAAAGCCACGGCUAACUACGUGCCAGCAGCCGCGGUAAUACGUAGGUGGCAAGCGUUAUCCGGAUUAUUGGGCGUAAAGCGCGCGUAGGCGGUUUUUUAAGUCUGAUGUGAAAGCCCACGGCUCAACCGUGGAGGGUCAUUGGAAACUGGAAAACUUGAGUGCAGAAGAGGAAAGUGGAAUUCCAUGUGUAGCGGUGAAAUGCGCAGAGAUAUGGAGGAACACCAGUGGCGAAGGCGACUUUCUGGUCUGUAACUGACGCUGAUGUGCGAAAGCGUGGGGAUCAAACAGGAUUAGAUACCCUGGUAGUCCACGCCGUAAACGAUGAGUGCUAAGUGUUAGGGGGUUUCCGCCCCUUAGUGCUGCAGCUAACGCAUUAAGCACUCCGCCUGGGGAGUACGACCGCAAGGUUGAAACUCAAAGGAAUUGACGGGGACCCGCACAAGCGGUGGAGCAUGUGGUUUAAUUCGAAGCAACGCGAAGAACCUUACCAAAUCUUGACAUCCUUUGACAACUCUAGAGAUAGAGCCUUCCCCUUCGGGGGACAAAGUGACAGGUGGUGCAUGGUUGUCGUCAGCUCGUGUCGUGAGAUGUUGGGUUAAGUCCCGCAACGAGCGCAACCCUUAAGCUUAGUUGCCAUCAUUAAGUUGGGCACUCUAAGUUGACUGCCGGUGACAAACCGGAGGAAGGUGGGGAUGACGUCAAAUCAUCAUGCCCCUUAUGAUUUGGGCUACACACGUGCUACAAUGGACAAUACAAAGGGCAGCGAAACCGCGAGGUCAAGCAAAUCCCAUAAAGUUGUUCUCAGUUCGGAUUGUAGUCUGCAACUCGACUACAUGAAGCUGGAAUCGCUAGUAAUCGUAGAUCAGCAUGCUACGGUGAAUACGUUCCCGGGUCU